rnacentral:tRNA from 1 species
GGUGUCCGUGGUGUACUCGGUUUGUGCACACUUGCCUGUGAAGCAAGAGGUAAGGGUUCAAAUCCCUUCGGUCACCC